rnacentral:rRNA from 1 species
AUGAGUAGGGCGGGACACGUGGUAUCCUGUCUGAAUAUGGGGGGACCAUCCUCCAAGGCUAAAUACUCCUGACUGACCGAUAGUGAACCAGUACCGUGAGGGAAAGGCGAAAAGAACCCCGGCGAGGGGAGUGAAAAAGAACCUGAAACCGUGUACGUACAAGCAGUGGGAGCACGCUUAGGCGUGUGACUGCGUACCUUUUGUAUAAUGGGUCAGCGACUUAUAUUCUGUAGCAAGGUUAACCGAAUAGGGGAGCCGAAGGGAAACCGAGUCUUAACUGGGCGUUAAGUUGCAGGGUAUAGACCCGAAACCCGGUGAUCUAGCCAUGGGCAGGUUGAAGGUUGGGUAACACUAACUGGAGGACCGAACCGACUAAUGUUGAAAAAUUAGCGGAUGACUUGUGGCUGGGGGUGAAAGGCCAAUCAAACCGGGAGAUAGCUGGUUCUCCCCGAAAGCUAUUUAGGUAGCGCCUCGUGAAUUCAUCUCCGGGGGUAGAGCACUGUUUCGGCAAGGGGGUCAUCCCGACUUACCAACCCGAUGCAAACUGCGAAUACCGGAGAAUGUUAUCACGGGAGACACACGGCGGGUGCUAACGUCCGUCGUGAAGAGGGAAACAACCCAGACCGCCAGCUAAGGUCCCAAAGUCAUGGUUAAGUGGGAAACGAUGUGGGAAGGCCCAGACAGCCAGGAUGUUGGCUUAGAAGCAGCCAUCAUUUAAAGAAAGCGUAAUAGCUCACUGGUCGAGUCGGCCUGCGCGGAAGAUGUAACGGGGCUAAACCAUGCACCGAAGCUGCGGCAGCGACGCUUAUGCGUUGUUGGGUAGGGGAGCGUUCUGUAAGCCUGUGAAGGUGUGCUGUGAGGCAUGCUGGAGGUAUCAGAAGUGCGAAUGCUGACAUAAGUAACGAUAAAGCGGGUGAAAAGCCCGCUCGCCGGAAGACCAAGGGUUCCUGUCCAACGUUAAUCGGGGCAGGGUGAGUCGACCCCUAAGGCGAGGCCGAAAGGCGUAGUCGAUGGGAAACAGGUUAAUAUUCCUGUACUUGGUGUUACUGCGAAGGGGGGACGGAGAAGGCUAUGUUGGCCGGGCGACGGUUGUCCCGGUUUAAGCGUGUAGGCUGGUUUUCCAGGCAAAUCCGGAAAAUCAAGGCUGAGGCGUGAUGACGAGGCACUACGGUGCUGAAGCAACAAAUGCCCUGCUUCCAGGAAAAGCCUCUAAGCAUCAGGUAACAUCAAAUCGUACCCCAAACCGACACAGGUGGUCAGGUAGAGAAUACCAAGGCGCUUGAGAGAACUCGGGUGAAGGAACUAGGCAAAAUGGUGCCGUAACUUCGGGAGAAGGCACGCUGAUAUGUAGGUGAAGUCCCUCGCGGAUGGAGCUGAAAUCAGUCGAAGAUACCAGCUGGCUGCAACUGUUUAUUAAAAACACAGCACUGUGCAAACACGAAAGUGGACGUAUACGGUGUGACGCCUGCCCGGUGCCGGAAGGUUAAUUGAUGGGGUCAGCGCAAGCGAAGCUCUUGAUCGAAGCCCCGGUAAACGGCGGCCGUAACUAUAACGGUCCUAAGGUAGCGAAAUUCCUUGUCGGGUAAGUUCCGACCUGCACGAAUGGCGUAAUGAUGGCCAGGCUGUCUCCACCCGAGACUCAGUGAAAUUGAACUCGCUGUGAAGAUGCAGUGUACCCGCGGCAAGACGGAAAGACCCCGUGAACCUUUACUAUAGCUUGACACUGAACAUUGAGCCUUGAUGUGUAGGAUAGGUGGGAG